UACAGAGGUCCCGAGCGUUGUUCGGAUUCAUUGGGCGUAAAGGGUGCGUAGGCGGCGGGGCAAGUCUGAUGUGAAAUCCCGGGGCUCAACCCCGGAACUGCAUUGGAUACUGCCUUGCUUGAGUACUGGAGAGGAGACUGGAAUUUACGGUGUAGCAGUGAAAUGCGUAGAUAUCGUAAGGAAGACCAGCGGCGAAGGCGAGUUCCUGGACAGUUACUGACGCUGAGGCACGAAGGCCAGGGAGCAAACGGG
rnacentral:rRNA from 1 species